GGGAAGAGUUGCCAUAAACAAACAUGAUUAUUGACAGAGUUCUUGGAAAUGAACAGAUACAUAGACUCCCCAGCUGUUUGACAUCUGAUAACUGUGAGAGAGGAAGAUAGUAAACUGUUAUGCUUCAGGAAUCUAAUGGUCUUUAAUUGUUAUUAACAGCAAAGCACAAAGAUUCCCAUGAGAGGGUGCUGAAUACUACAGCUGUGUGUUUCCAGAUAUGGUGGCAAAUCAGAACGUUCAACAAUCUGUUAAAAGGUCACCAUGGCAGCCUGUGUGUCUCCAACAUCAGCUACACAACGCAGCAAGUCCAUUUGGAUCAUCGGUGACAGCUGAGUGAGGCGUGGUGCCCAGAGAGCUGCAGAGACCGUCGGAGACAACCUUGGCCUCCCUGACGUCCGUGUCUCCUGGUUCGGUUGGGGCGGACUGAGGUGGAAAGACCUUCUCCCCUUCUUUUUCAACUCCAUGCAUGGAAGAGCAGCUCCUGAUGCCCUUCUCAUCCACUGUGGCGGCAAUGACAUGGGGUGGUCAGCAGUGUGAAGCUGGUCAACAUGAAGGAGGACCUGCAACGGCUUCACCUUCUACACCCUCAUGUCACACUGUUGAGAACUGUUCUUCCUUCACAACCCAAUGUUCCACUCACUCUGCAGCUCUCUGGGCCCCUUUUAUUAUUUUAAGUAUUUUUUAAAUGUCCCGACACUUUGUGUCCUGUUAUUUUAUAAAAUGUGACGUAAAAAAAUUAAUGUUUUUGCUCAAUUACUGGAAUUUCUUUGGUUAAGACAAAAAAGGAAGAAUCAUUUAUGCCAAGUUGUUUCUACAACAGGCCCGUUUUAAGUCCAACAGUUUCUUAGCAGCCAAUAGAAAUGUGUUCUUUACUAACUUUACUUGGUUUAAAAAUCUUACUAAAAUAAACAGAGUGCUGUAUUCCAAAACCAAAUCAUACUUGUUAUGUAAAUAUUAGCUUUGUAGAUACUUUUUACAGAUAUAUAUUUGUGUGCUAAAAAAAACAUCAACUUAAAUAAUUUGUCAUUCUUUAUUGAAAAACAAUAAAAUACUGGUAUACAGAAAGUGUGGGAAAAUGAUCAUGUGAAAGUAUUGCUCUUUAAAUGUAAUACUAUUCAUCUUUAAAAAGAAAAACUCUAAAAAUGUCCUGUACAGCAACAUGACAGAAGAAAGGUGGUCUGUCUGUCAGAAGGUGCUGAACAGAUUUGCUCUAUCAAGAGGAGCGUUUUGUGUAAGAGUUUAUGUUAUUGUAAUAUUGGUUUGGGUUAUGUAUCUGUGACACGAUCCAGGUGGAAUGGAAGGUGCCACUAAUAUUAAAAGGAUUAAAAUAGGUUCUAAAAAAACAAGGCAAGCAGUGCGACAGCCAAAGCAAAUUAAAAAGGUACAUUUAUUACAAAACCCUGAUGAUGAUGCCAAGGGGAAAAAAGCGUUCAAUCGAGUGUGCUCAGGGCCGCAAGAGACAAGGCGGUCCAGUCCGGCCCUGCUGAGCUCUCGACCAAGGAAUCUCCAAGGCCGGCGUCGUCGUCUGGGAACCAAAGGAUCGCCGCACGGUGGAUCCAAUCCUCCUCGGCCCGGCUCCUGUGGCACACAGCUCCGGCAGUAAAUAGGUCCCAGGCACCAGACCACUCACAGAGAGAGAGCAACUCUAACACUGCCAGGCACUGAUCAAUUAC